UUAAGUUAUUAAGGGCGCACGGUGGAUGCCUUGGCACUAGAAGCCGAUGAAGGACGUUACUAACGACGAUAUGCUUUGGGGAGCUGUAAGUAAGCUUUGAUCCAGAGAUUUCCGAAUGGGGAAACCCAGCAUGAGUUAUGUCAUGUUAUCGAUAUGUGAAUACAUAGCAUAUCAGAAGGCACACCCGGAGAACUGAAACAUCUUAGUACCCGGAGGAAGAGAAAGAAAAUUCGAUUCCCUUAGUAGCGGCGAGCGAAACGGGAAGAGCCCAAACCAACAAGCUUGCUUGUUGGGGUUGUAGGACACUCUAUACGGAGUUACAAAGGACGACAUUAGACGAAUCAUCUGGAAAGAUGAAUCAAAGAAGGUAAUAAUCCUGUAGUCGAAAAUGUUGUCUCUCUUGAGUGGAUCCUGAGUACGACGGAGCACGUGAAAUUCCGUCGGAAUCUGGGAGGACCAUCUCCUAAGGCUAAAUACUCUCUAGUGACCGAUAGUGAACCAGUACCGUGAGGGAAAGGUGAAAAGCACCCCGGAAGGGGAGUGAAAUAGAACCUGAAACCGUGUGCUUACAAGUAGUCAGAGCCCGUUAAUGGGUGAUGGCGUGCCUUUUGUAGAAUGAACCGGCGAGUUACGAUUUGAUGCAAGGUUAAGCAGUAAAUGUGGAGCCGUAGCGAAAGCGAGUCUGAAUAGGGCGUUUAGUAUUUGGUCGUAGACCCGAAACCAGGUGAUCUACCCUUGGUCAGGUUGAAGUUCAGGUAACACUGAAUGGAGGACCGAACCGACUUACGUUGAAAAGUGAGCGGAUGAACUGAGGGUAGCGGAGAAAUUCCAAUCGAACCUGGAGAUAGCUGGUUCUCUCCGAAAUAGCUUUAGGGCUAGCCUCAAGUGAUGAUUAUUGGAGGUAGAGCACUGUUUGGACGAGGGGCCCCUCUCGGGUUACCGAAUUCAGACAAACUCCGAAUGCCAAUUAAUUUAACUUGGGAGUCAGAACAUGGGUGAUAAGGUCCGUGUUCGAAAGGGAAACAGCCCAGACCACCAGCUAAGGUCCCAAAAUAUAUGUUAAGUGGAAAAGGAUGUGGCGUUGCCCAGACAACUAGGAUGUUGGCUUAGAAGCAGCCAUCAUUUAAAGAGUGCGUAAUAGCUCACUAGUCGAGUGACACUGCGCCGAAAAUGUACCGGGGCUAAACAUAUUACCGAAGCUGUGGAUUGUCCUUUGGACAAUGGUAGGAGAGCGUUCUAAGGGCGUUGAAGCAUGAUCGUAAGGACAUGUGGAGCGCUUAGAAGUGAGAAUGCCGGUGUGAGUAGCGAAAGACGGGUGAGAAUCCCGUCCACCGAUUGACUAAGGUUUCCAGAGGAAGGCUCGUCCGCUCUGGGUUAGUCGGGUCCUAAGCUGAGGCCGACAGGCGUAGGCGAUGGAUAACAGGUUGAUAUUCCUGUACCACCUAUAAUCGUUUUAAUCGAUGGGGGGACGCAGUAGGAUAGGCGAAGCGUGCGAUUGGAUUGCACGUCUAAGCAGUAAGGCUGAGUAUUAGGCAAAUCCGGUACUCGUUAAGGCUGAGCUGUGAUGGGGAGAAGACAUUGUGUCUUCGAGUCGUUGAUUUCACACUGCCGAGAAAAGCCUCUAGAUAGAAAAUAGGUGCCCGUACCGCAAACCGACACAGGUAGUCAAGAUGAGAAUUCUAAGGUGAGCGAGCGAACUCUCGUUAAGGAACUCGGCAAAAUGACCCCGUAACUUCGGGAGAAGGGGUGCUCUUUAGGGUUAACGCCCAGAAGAGCCGCAGUGAAUAGGCCCAAGCGACUGUUUAUCAAAAACACAGGUCUCUGCUAAACCGUAAGGUGAUGUAUAGGGGCUGACGCCUGCCCGGUGCUGGAAGGUUAAGAGGAGUGGUUAGCUUCUGCGAAGCUACGAAUCGAAGCCCCAGUAAACGGCGGCCGUAACUAUAACGGUCCUAAGGUAGCGAAAUUCCUUGUCGGGUAAGUUCCGACCCGCACGAAAGGCGUAACGAUUUGGGCACUGUCUCAACGAGAGACUCGGUGAAAUCAUAGUACCUGUGAAGAUGCAGGUUACCCGCGACAGGACGGAAAGACCCCGUGGAGCUUUACUGUAGCCUGAUAUUGAAAUUCGGCACAGCUUGUACAGGAUAGGUAGGAGCCUUUGAAACGUGAGCGCUAGCUUACGUGGAGGCGCUGGUGGGAUACUACCCUAGCUGUGUUGGCUUUCUAACCCGCACCACUUAUCGUGGUGGGAGACAGUGUCAGGCGGGCAGUUUGACUGGGGCGGUCGCCUCCUAAAAGGUAACGGAGGCGCUCAAAGGUUCCCUCAGAAUGGUUGGAAAUCAUUCAUAGAGUGUAAAGGCAUAAGGGAGCUUGACUGCGAGACCUACAAGUCGAGCAGGGUCGAAAGACGGACUUAGUGAUCCGGUGGUUCCGCAUGGAAGGGCCAUCGCUCAACGGAUAAAAGCUACCCCGGGGAUAACAGGCUUAUCUCCCCCAAGAGUUCACAUCGACGGGGAGGUUUGGCACCUCGAUGUCGGCUCAUCGCAUCCUGGGGCUGUAGUCGGUCCCAAGGGUUGGGCUGUUCGCCCAUUAAAGCGGUACGCGAGCUGGGUUCAGAACGUCGUGAGACAGUUCGGUCCCUAUCCGUCGUGGGCGUAGGAAAUUUGAGAGGAGCUGUCCUUAGUACGAGAGGACCGGGAUGGACAUACCUCUGGUGUACCAGUUGUCGUGCCAACGGCAUAGCUGGGUAGCUAUGUGUGGACGGGAUAAGUGCUGAAAGCAUCUAAGCAUGAAGCCCCCCUCAAGAUGAGAUUUCCUAACUUCGGUUAUAAGAUCCCUCAAAGAUGAUGAGGUUAAUAGGUUCGAGGUGGAAGCAUGGUGACAUGUGGAGCUGACGAAUACUAAUCGAUCGAAGACUUAAUCAA
rnacentral:rRNA from 1 species